rnacentral:rRNA from 1 species
CGUGUGCUUACAAGUAGUCAGAGCCCGUUAAUGGGUGAUGGCGUGCCUUUUGUAGAAUGAACCGGCGAGUUACGAUUUGAUGCAAGGUUAAGCAGUAAAUGUGGAGCCGUAGCGAAAGCGAGUCUGAAUAGGGCGUUUAGUAUUUGGUCGUAGACCCGAAACCAGGUGAUCUACCCUUGGUCAGGUUGAAGUUCAGGUAACACUGAAUGGAGGACCGAACCGACUUACGUUGAAAAGUGAGCGGAUGAACUGAGGGUAGCGGAGAAAUUCCAAUCGAACCUGGAGAUAGCUGGUUCUCUCCGAAAUAGCUUUAGGGCUAGCCUCAAGUGAUGAUUAUUGGAGGUAGAGCACUGUUUGGACGAGGGGCCCCUCUCGGGUUACCGAAUUCAGACAAACUCCGAAUGCCAAUUAAUUUAACUUGGGAGUCAGAACAUGGGUGAUAAGGUCCGUGUUCGAAAGGGAAACAGCCCAGACCACCAGCUAAGGUCCCAAAAUAUAUGUUAAGUGGAAAAGGAUGUGGCGUUGCCCAGACAACUAGGAUGUUGGCUUAGAAGCAGCCAUCAUUUAAAGAGUGCGUAAUAGCUCACUAGUCGAGUGACACUGCGCCGAAAAUGUACCGGGGCUAAACAUAUUACCGAAGCUGUGGAUUGUCCUUUGGACAAUGGUAGGAGAGCGUUCUAAGGGCGUUGAA